UAGGCACCGCACGAUCCAGUGUAACCCUUCAAUCUCUCCCAAGCCUCAUACAAUGUCUCAUUACACCCUUGUUCGAAUCUUGUAAUAUCGUUUCUAAUCUG
rfam:Arabis alpina cultivar Pajares Aa.chr7_contig_2453, whole genome shotgun sequence.